GUCGUCAGCUCGUGUCGUGAGAUGUUGGUUAAGUCCGCAACGAGCGCAACCCCUAUUGUUAGUUGCCAUCAUUCAGUUGGGCACUCUAGCGAGACUGCCGGUAAUAAACCGGAGGAAGGUGGGGAUGACGUCGAAUCAUCAUGCCCCUUAUGACCUGGGCUACACACGUGCUACAAUGGUUGGUACAACGAGUUGCGAGUCGGUGACGGCGAGCUAAUCUCUUAAAGCCAAUCUCAGUUCGGAUUGUAGGCUGCAACUCGCCUACAUGAAGUCGGAAUCGCUAGUAAUCGCGGAUCAGCACGCCGCGGUGAAUACGUUCCCGGGCCUU
rnacentral:rRNA from 1 species